GCUGGUGAACACCCUUGCGGUGGGAGCUGGUGGUGGUCGCAGAGGCCAGGGAGAAGCGACUGUUUACUAAAAACACAGGUCCAUGCGAAGCUGUAAGGCGAUGUAUAUGGACUGACGCCUGCCCGGUGCUGGAACGUUAAGAGGACCCGUGAACCCCUUUUGGGGUGUAGCGGAGAAUUUAAGCGCCAGUAAACGGCGGUGGUAACUAUAACCAUCCUAAGGUAGCGAAAUUCCUUGUCGGGUAAGUUCCGACCUGCACGAAUGGCGUAACGACUUCUCCGCUGUCUCGACCACAGGCCCGGUGAAAUUGCAGUACGAGUAAAGAUGCUCGUUUCGCGCGGCAGGACGGAAAGACCCCGGGACCUUUACUAUAGCUUGGUAUUGGUGUUUGGUUCGGCUUGUGUAGGAUAGGUGGGAGACUGUGAAGCAUUCACGCUAGUGGGUGUGGAGUCGUUGGUGAAAUACCACUCUGGUCGUUCUGGGCAUCUAACUCGGGUCCGUGAUCCGGAUCGGGGACAGUGCCUGGUGGGUAGUUUAACUGGGGCGGUUGCCUCCUAAAGGGUAACGGAGGCGCCCAAAGGUUCCCUCAGCCUGGUUGGCAAUCAGGUGUUGAGUGUAAGUGUAUAAGGGAGCUUGACUGUGAGACUGACGGGUCGAGCAGGUGCGAAAGCAGGGACUAGUGAUCCGGCACUGGCUGGUGGAAGCGGUGUCGCUCAACGGAUAAAAGGUACCCCGGGGAUAACAGGCUGAUCUUGCCCAAGAGUCCAUAUCGACGGCAUGGUUUGGCACCUCGAUGUCGGCUCGUCGCAUCCUGGGGCUGGAGUUGGUCCCAAGGGUUGGGCUGUUCGCCCAUUAAAGCGGCACGCGAGCUGGGUUUAGAACGUCGUGAGACAGUUCGGUCCCUAUCCGCCGCGCGCGUAGGAGACUUGCGGAAGGCUGUCCCUAGUACGAGAGGACCGGGAUGGACGAACCUCUGGUGUGCCAGUCGUUCUGCCAAGGGCGUGGCUGGUUGGCUAUGUUCGGGAGGGAUAACCGCUGAAAGCAUCUAAGCGGGAAGCCUGUUCCUAGAUGAGGUCUCCCACCCUUUGUGGGGUAAGGCCCCCAGUAGAUGACUGGGUUGACAGGCCAGAUAUGGAAGCACAGUAAUGUGUGGAGUUGACUGGUGCUGAUAGGCCGAGGACUUGCUCAC
rnacentral:rRNA from 2 species